rnacentral:rRNA from 1 species
GCCCCGCAAGGGGCAAGUAGAGUGGCAAACGGGUGAGUAACACGUGGGUGACCUGCCUUCGAGUGGGGGAUAACGUCCCGAAAGGGACGCUAAUACCGCAUGACAUCCUGCCUUUGAACAGGCGGAGAUCAAAGCCGGGGAUCGCAAGACCUGGCGCUCAAAGAGGGGCCCGCGCCUGAUUAGCUAGUUGGUGGGGUAAUGGCUCACCAAGGCAACGAUCAGUAUCCGGCCUGAGAGGGCGGACGGACACACUGGGACUGAGACACGGCCCAGACUCCUACGGGAGGCAGCAGUGGGGAAUUGUUCGCAAUGGGCGCAAGCCUGACGACGCAACGCCGCGUGGAGGAUGAAGACCUUCGGGUCGUAAACUCCUUUCGAUCGAGACGAAUGGCUUCCGGGUGAACAAUCCGGAGGAAUGACGGUACCGAGAGAAGAAGCCCCGGCUAACUCCGUGCCAGCAGCCGCGGUAAUACGGGGGGGGCAAGCGUUGUUCGGAAUUACUGGGCGUAAAGGGCUCGUAGGUGGCCAACUAAGUCAGACGUGAAAUCCCUCGGCUUAACCGGGGAACUGCGUCUGAUACUGGAUGGCUGGAGUUUGGGAGAGGGAUGCGGAAUUCCAGGUGUAGCGGUGAAAUGCGUAGAUAUCUGGAGGAACACCGGUGGCGAAGGCGGCAUCCUGGACCAACACUGACGCUGAGGAGCGAAAGCCAGGGAGCAAACGGGAUUAGAUACCCCGGUAGUCCUGGCCCUAAACGAUGAAUGCUUGGUGUGGCGGGUAUCGAUCCCUGCCGUGCCGAAGCUAACGCAUUAAGCA